rnacentral:misc_RNA from 1 species
GAUGAAGAACGCAGCGAAAUGCGAUAAGUAAUGUGAAUUGCAGAAUUCAGUGAAUCAUCGAAUCUUUGAACGCACCUUGCGCCCUUUGGCCAUUCCGAAGGGCAUGCCUGUUUGAGUAUCAUGAACACCUCAACUCUUCAUGGUUUUCCGUGAUGAGCUUGGACUUUGGGGGUCUUGCUGGCCUAUGGUCAGCUCCUCUAAAAUAAAUCAGCUUGCCAGUGUUUGGUGGGUAUCACAGGUGUGAUAACUAUCUACGCUUGUGGUUUUCCACCAGGUAACCUUCAGCAGUGGAGGUUCGCUGGAGCUCACAGAUGUGUCUCUCCUCAGUGAGGACAGCUCUUUGAAUGUUUGAUCUCAAAUCAGGUAGGACUACCCGCUGAACUUAAGCAUAUCAUAAGCGGAGGA